rnacentral:rRNA from 1 species
AACGAACGCUGGCGGCAGGCUUAACACAUGCAAGUCGAGCGCCCCGCAAGGGGAGCGGCAGACGGGUGAGUAACGCGUGGGAAUCUACCUUUUGCUACGGAAUAACUCAGGGAAACUUGUGCUAAUACCGUAUGUGCCCUUCGGGGGAAAGAUUUAUCGGCAAAGGAUGAGCCCGCGUUGGAUUAGCUAGUUGGUGGGGUAAUGGCCUACCAAGGCGACGAUCCAUAGCUGGUCUGAGAGGAUGAUCAGCCACAUUGGGACUGAGACACGGCCCAAACUCCUACGGGAGGCAGCAGUGGGGAAUAUUGGACAAUGGGCGCAAGCCUGAUCCAGCCAUGCCGCGUGAGUGAUGAAGGCCCUAGGGUUGUAAAGCUCUUUCACCGGUGAAGAUAAUGACGGUAACCGGAGAAGAAGCCCCGGCUAACUUCGUGCCAGCAGCCGCAGUAA